rnacentral:rRNA from 1 species
AGAAAGCAGCUUGCUGCUUUGCUGACGAGUGGCGGACGGGUGAGUAAUGUCUGGGAAACUGCCUGAUGGAGGGGGAUAACUACUGGAAACGGUAGCUAAUACCGCAUAACGUCGCAAGACCAAAGAGGGGGACCUUCGGGCCUCUUGCCAUCGGAUGUGCCCAGAUGGGAUUAGCUAGUAGGUGGGGUAACGGCUCACCUAGGCGACGAUCCCUAGCUGGUCUGAGAGGAUGACCAGCCACACUGGAACUGAGACACGGUCCAGACUCCUACGGGAGGCAGCAGUGGGGAAUAUUGCACAAUGGGCGCAAGCCUGAUGCAGCCAUGCCGCGUGUAUGAAGAAGGCCUUCGGGUUGUAAAGUACUUUCAGCGGGGAGGAAGGGAGUAAAGUUAAUACCUUUGCUCAUUGACGUUACCCGCAGAAGAAGCACCGGCUAACUCCGUGCCAGCAGCCGCGGUAAUACGGAGGGUGCAAGCGUUAAUCGGAAUUACUGGGCGUAAAGCGCACGCAGGCGGUUUGUUAAGUCAGAUGUGAAAUCCCCGGGCUCAACCUGGGAACUGCAUCUGAUACUGGCAAGCUUGAGUCUCGUAGAGGGGGGUAGAAUUCCAGGUGUAGCGGUGAAAUGCGUAGAGAUCUGGAGGAAUACCGGUGGCGAAGGCGGCCCCCUGGACGAAGACUGACGCUCAGGUGCGAAAGCGUGGGGAGCAAACAGGAUUAGAUACCCUG